ACUGGCAUAAUGAUGAUUUCCUUUCGCCGUUUACCCAUCUGAAUAUAUAUAUUGAUGUAAAUGUUGAAGUCUGAGAUGCCAGU
ensembl:snoRNA small nucleolar RNA SNORD87